AAUAUCCUCCAUAUAGGCAAAUAAGCCCAUGCGAGACAUUUAAUAUCGAGAAAAGAAAAAAAAGAAUAACUUGAAGCAUUUGAUUUCUUAUUUUUUUUUUUUUU
rnacentral:ribozyme from 1 species